CAUAGAGUUAGCUGCAGUCCAGUGCAGUUACCUCUUGAUAUCGCUAAGGUAUCGUUAUGAUCACUUAGACCCUGAAGUUGAUCAUAACCUCUUCUACACGUCGACAAGAUGUAUCUUGUGUUAGCCAGCUCCCUCAAGCUGGCUUUUUUUUAA
rnacentral:ncRNA from 1 species